UGAUCGUGAUCAUACAAGUGUAUAAAUUUACUGAAUACAUAAUUAUAUUUUUGUUCAUUUUGAAGACAGGAAAUUUGAGCGCAGCAGACACCUCAGGAAGGUUUCUCACAGCAGUGCAGAAUGACAAAUUUUGAUGGAGGCGCAAAAUGAAGAGGUGUAAAUUGAAGGAAAGAGAGAGAGUGAUUGAAUGAUGGAGGAGACAUUUUACAAGUAACUGAUGGAGAAGAAAGCUGCAGAGAAGACGCAAGAAGUAAGGUGAAAUUGUCUCAUGAAAGUGCUGGACUGCCUGUUUCCAAGACCUCUGUUGGACUUUGCCGAUAUUAACCAAAUGGUUUCUGACACCACAUACCUGUCCACAGCGAUGGCCACCAGUGUAAACACGGAGGCUGACACAGACAUGCCCUGCACCAGCCCACUCAUCUUACAGAUGGUGUUCGUAAAUGGCCAACCUUGGGGAGAAAUAAAACAUUAUGAAAGCCCGCAGUGACACAUAAAGCGCUCGGUAUGCUGUGGCCCUUGCUGACAAACGGCUACACUUCUUAGACCUCUUGCUGUUCAAGACAAAGCCGCAACACUCCGCGAGCAAAAAGGUUUCCUUUUUGCCUUUUGAAAGAAGAAAGAAAAGCACAUGGAUAAACACAAGAAUAAGUAAUUUCACGCCAACUCUUUUCCAAGACUUGUGUUUUUUGUAGCAAGCUGUGCUAACAUGACAUCCCCUGCCAAAGCAUCUACAAAUAUUAGUUCUGUAUUUCGCUACUUAUGAGCUUACUUGGCCAUUUGGCCUUCUAUUUCGUCCUGACACAAUUUCUGCUGGGUCAACAUCUACACUGUCAGAAGAAAUUGAAUGUCUCUAGCUGGUACCCUUUCAAAAAAAGUAUACCUUUGCACCUAGGGAGUUCAUAAUAGUACCUCAAAGCUACAUAUUGGUACCAAAUGUAUACACAUCUGUACCUAAAUGGGUUUUUUAAUGGGUACUGCUCCAGUGACAGCUUGGGACCAUUUUUGACCAUUUCUUUGGUAACAACCCACCAUGAAAACCUGUGGAUGAGUGUCUGAGACCUUUGCUUGACCUUUAGGAUCCUGUCAGAUUUGCAGUACACAUUGGAAUUGAAUAACAAAUCAUUUUACAUAACGAGUGAACAGAUUUUUCUGUUUGACAUUUAAGCAGUGUAUAUAGAUUAGCCCCUGCAAAGCUCUAAGCCUCCAUACUUUGUCACAAUUUUCAUCUUUUUCAUCAUGUUUGUGUCUUUGAAGAAAUUAUUUAACCUAAAAAAAAUCCAUGCAAUAAUAGUUUUGAUAAAUCAACAUCUUGCACGGCAAUGCUACAGUCUUAAAAAUAAAGGUUCUUUACAGCAAUGCCAUAGAAGAACCAUUUUUGGUUCCUCAUAGAACCAUCCAGUUAAAGGUUCUUAAUAUAUAACCAUUUCUAUCUGACUUGGAGUAUAGUGUAAAAAAUCGUUUUCCUUCUUUAGAUGUUAAAAGUUCUUUAUGAAUCUAUCAUUUGUUGAUCCAACUUUU